rnacentral:rRNA from 1 species
GACGAACGCUGGCGGCGUGCUUAACACAUGCAAGUCGAACGGAAAGGCCCUGCUUUUGUGGGGUGCUCGAGUGGCGAACGGGUGAGUAACACGUGAGUAACCUGCCCUUGACUUUGGGAUAACUUCAGGAAACUGGGGCUAAUACCGGAUAGGAGCUCCUGCUGCAUGGUGGGGGUUGGAAAGUUUCGGCGGUUGGGGAUGGGCUCGCGGCUUAUCAGCUUGUUGGUGGGGUAGUGGCUUACCAAGGCUUUGACGGGUAGCCGGCCUGAGAGGGUGACCGGCCACAUUGGGACUGAGAUACGGCCCAGACUCCUACGGGAGGCAGCAGUGGGGAAUAUUGCACAAUGGGCGGAAGCCUGAUGCAGCAACGCCGCGUGCGGGAUGACGGCCUUCGGGUUGUAAACCGCUUUCGCCUGUGACGAAGCGUGAGUGAUGGUAAUGGGUAAAGAAGCACCGGCUAACUACGUG